rnacentral:rRNA from 1 species
UCCAUGAGUAAAGUGGCGACCGGGUGAGUAACACGUGACUAACUUGCCCUCGAGUGGGGGAUAACCCCGGGAAACCGGGGCUAAUACCGCAUAACAUCGAGAGAUUAAAGGAGCAAUCCGCUUGAGGAGAGGGUCGCGGCUGAUUAGCUAGUUGGUAGGGUAAUGGCCUACCAAGGCUGAGAUCGGUAGCCGGCCUGAGAGGGCGCACGGCCACACUGGAACUGAAACACGGUCCAG